ACCAAAAGAACUCACAUUCAGAUUGCAACCUAUACAACUCUAAACCAUUCUUCUUCUUCCAACCUCUUCCAGAUUGCAACCCGCUCCUUCGACUCAGACCGUUUUAGAUGCCGCCUUGAUGAUUGCUCUCUCUCAAGGUCAUUGUUCUUGCUGCCUUUACUCGAUUAGACACAUUUUGUGCUCUUCAAGACCUGUGACAAUUCAAACAUUUGUUAACCAUAGUGCCUCUGAUCAAGAUCUCCAACAGGUAGUGCACUCACAAUGCAAAACAACUUUACUCUCGGUACUAUUCAAGAUCUCGAAUAGCUGCUGAUAGAGUGGCAAUACAUGAGACAUGGCGUAGAAAGGCUGUUUGGAACCACCGGGGGAAAGACUUUCAUUUGCUAACAGGAAUUCCGGUUACAAGUCCCAUUAUAUCCCUAAUAGUUGGUAGUGAAGAUGAAGCACUGCAAGCAAGCCGAUAUGUUUCAUUCCCUUACUUUCUUUCCCAUCAUUUUUGGUGCUCAAUGAACUAAGUAUCACAUGAGUCUACGACUACAGAAGCUGAUCAUGCUUUUAAUUUUGAUCAACUGCUAGUUACUUUAGUACUAUCUUUUAGUCAUGCAUAGGCACACUUUGUGAUUAGACUGUAAAGUAACACUAAAUAAGUAUGGAGCAACUUUUCCAUAAGCCUAA